GUUAUCAGAUAAAAGCAGAACAGGAAAGGGCUAAAGCUGUUCUCUUCUGUGUGCACCCAGCUGCUGCAGCAUCACAGUUGAAUCACAUUAUACAACGGCAGCCCACCUGCUGUCUGUAAACCACGUGCUUUAUAGUAAGAGCCUGACCUGUCAGACUACCUCGCUGCUCUGCACAACAACAGAAGAGCCGACAGCCAAUCGUCUGUGGGCUGCACAUGUACAAACACUGAAAAUGUAUGAAUCAGAAAGUCGCUUCUUCAUUUUGUAACUUCAUUCCUAUUCUCUUCAACCAGGUAGAGAUAUGGUGAGGACUGAAAACAGAAAAGACACACCUUCUUUGAGCACCGUUGACUGCCAACAGCCGGUAAACCACAAACUGACGCUGCGGUUGAAACCAGACAGCAGCUCUGCUGACCAGUCUUCAGUGUUUCCGCAGCAGCCUCGCUCUGAUUGGCUGCUCCAAGACGUGGAAAUCCCCGCAAUGUUACGUCAUCACUCGAACGGGAAAUCACCCCCAAGAAGCAGAGUUUGACUUCAAGACUAUCGGAACAUUUCUGGUUAGACGAGUUUUAGGUCGUUUGUUCCAUUUAAUAAGUGAAAGCACUUAUUAAAAUGUUAGGCAUUGUUUAUUUAAUCGCACGGUUCAAGUUAAGCCACUGCCUUUUCCGGGAACCGCCAGUAUCUGGAUUAAACUGAGAACAUACAGUUAAAGAUAAAAUUAGACACCACAAAAACAGUUAAUACUAAAGCGUUUAACACAUCAGGCUUUGCGUUUCGGAAAGUGAUGUGUCAAUCUCUUCAGCUCCUAUAAAGUUAUUAAUGUUCUGUCAGGGACCGUUGUCUUUAAAUCACUUCAAAGUUUCUCUCUAUAUUGUUGUUUAUACUGUGCAGACCAGUCAAUAAUUAUCUUUGGCUUUCUGGAGUCACCAAUUAACGUUAUGUCAUGACGUCAUCGUGUCAAUUAAACAAGAACCCAGUUCGACUGUGACGACGGCUUUUCCAGUUUUAUCUUUUCAGUGCAUGGUGGACAAACUACGUCUGGAUUCUAAUCCAAUUUUCAUGAGAAGAAAUGAUAAAUCGUGACAGGGAGGUGGCUCAUGUGGCGCAUGCUUACGUAUAAUGACUGAAACCAUAUUUUAAUUGGUCCAGUUGUUAAUCAGGGACAAGUUUGUUAAGUUCGUGGAAGAAAUAGUUAUCUUCUGCUUUUUUGACGUUUCUUGAGUGCAUUGAACGCACCACUUUGUAGCGCACACGCGCAGUGUGUUUUGUCCGGCCAGAGUGGGGAAAUGUAUGAGAGCUGGUCAAGUUUUGCUCCAAGCGGUUUGGCGUGCGCGGUAAACAAAAGUGCUGACUGAAGUGGCGGCGGCAGCAGCAGAGGCAGCAUCUCCUGCCACCACAGCUGUGUUGUUGGGACUCUGAUCCGCUCCGCUGGUGCCAAACUCGUUGACCCGGUUGGGAUCGACCCUAUAGAUCCAACGCUGGUAAAGGUAGAUGAAGAACACCACAUCUGUAGGACAGGAAACAAAGGUCAAUGAGAAGUCCGAUGAAGACGCUGACUUGCACGACAAAGUUGGUCUCGUUGUCCAGGAUGUAAAGCAGGACCACGAGUGACUGAAAGACCCCAAAUAUGAUGGAGCGCACAGACAGACCCUCCAGAGAUUGUC